UACAGAGGGGGCAAGCGUUGUUCGGAAUUACUGGGCGUAAAGGGCGCGUAGGCGGCCUUCUAAGUCAGACGUGAAAUCCCCGGGCUCAACCCGGGAACUGCGUCUGAUACUGGAGGGCUUGAAUCCGGGAGAGGGAUGUGGAAUUCCAGGUGUAGCGGUGAAAUGCGUAGAUAUCUGGAGGAACACCGAUGGCGAAGGCAAUCCCCUGGGCCUGCACUGACGCUCAUGCACGAAAGCGUGGGGAGCAAACAGG
rnacentral:rRNA from 1 species